rnacentral:rRNA from 1 species
CGUAUCACUUAAAGCGAUUCAGCGGGUUACGAUUGACGGAGCGAAGCGACGUCAAAGCGUAUACAAAGUCGAGUCGGUUUAAGGAUACGUUCGUUGGGUAGGGGAGCGUUCUGUAAGCCUGUGAAGGUGGCCUGUGAGGGUUGCUGGAGGUAUCAGAAGUGCGAAUGCUGACAUAAGUAACGAUAAAGCGGGUGAAAAGCCCGCUCGCCGGAAGACCAAGGGUUCCUGUCCAACGUUAAUCGGGGCAGGGUGAGUCGACCCCUAAGGCGAGGCCGAAAGGCGUAGUCGAUGGGAAACGGGUUAAUAUUCCCGUACUUGGUGUUACUGCGAAGGGGGGACGGAGAAGGCUAUGUUGGCCGGGCGACGGUUGUCCCGGUUUAAGCGUGUAGGUGUGUGUUCCAGGUAAAUCCGGUUCACUUUAACACUGAGGCGUGAUGACGAGGCACUACGGUGCUGAAGCAACAAAUGCCCUGCUUCCAGGAAAAGCCUCUAAGCAUCAGGUAACAUCAAAUCGUACCCCAAACCGACACAGGUGGUCA